AUUUUUUUAAAAAAGAAAAUAGCUGGCAAGAAUCUGGCUUCUCUGUAGUUUCUCCAAGCAGUAACCUUCUGUCAUGACAAACUGUACCCACUUGCUAGAAACUCGGCAACUUGGUUUUCCCGUUCUGCGUGGCUCCCAGAUGGCCACCAGCUGGCCGGAGCUAUUUCCUGCAUUCUAAUCCCUUUCUGCAUCCUCCUGGUUCUCUUUUUGAUCUCCCACGUCUGUCCCCUCCUCCUUCUAACACCCACCAUACUAUAUCCCUCUUUGGAAGCACCUAUUUUCUAAGAAAAUCUUGAGGAAUUUUUUGGAGGCAUUACGUCUUUUUUGUUUUGAAACUUUUGGAUUGUAAGGAAAACCAGCUGCAGAGCUAGCCAGAGGCCCCAGCUCUGCUCCAUCAGCAGAAGGACAGCUGUCUUUGAGGGCGGGACGAGGACCCCCACCUCGCAGGGGUCAUGGCAGACUGCUUUGUGACAAGGCCGUUGGGGGACAAAUGGACCUGACGUUCUCCAGAAACCAGGCUUCAGUCUUUGAGCUGCACUCCUCUUCCUUCAAAAUCGUGGCAAGGAGACGCCUAUUCCCCCGGUGUACUCAUGGACCAGCGAGAGCCACUGACAGAUGCAUCACUGGAUCCUAACUAAACACUUUGUUCCAUCUCCCUGUGACCAGAGUAUUGUACCACAAUCCCAGUUGUUUGCAAUAAAUGGCUUGUCUUGAUUUUCCAGAUUAUAGCUAGAAGAUUGCCUCAAACGAUGAAUUGUAGAAUGGAGCAGGAUGUCUGUGUGUCUGCGUCUUCACCCGGGUUUUUCAGGCCACUGUGUCUGUGAACUUAGCUCUAUGAAAGCAAGAAGCCUAUGAGAAUUCCGCCAGGGGCAAGCCUGGCCUUGGCGCUUCACUGUCUUAGCGUGUGUCUGGCCCUCCCAUUCCUGGCCAAGGCCCACAGCCACCACAGAUGACCUGCUGAUGCCUCUGCUGAAAUCCGUGGCCACUGGCCAACAGCUUGACAAGAGUGUCAGCUCCCUCCCGAGACGAAAUCAGAGGAAAACGCCUCUAGUUUCUAAGAAGCACACAGGGAGCCACUUCUUUACCGCUAGCUCCUGCAGGAUCUGUGGGAUCCUGCAGGUGCUGGUUUGCCUCCUGAGCCCUGUCCUAAGGACACUCUGCACAUCGCCUCCUGACAGAUGGGCUUUCACAUUCAAGAGACACUGGAGCUGCCAUAACCUUGAGUGGACAUGAGCUUGGCCAGAUUGCACUGUCCAAAUGCCAGGACCCAGGGCCCCGGGGAGGUCUCUGGUGCAUGCGGCAGUGCUCUUGGAGGAUCUUGAUCACUCCAGCGCAUUCCUUGCAGCAAUCUGCACUUGGAACAGCGUUUGAUAUGGAAGGAAACACUAGUAUAAUAUCAAGUUGUGUAUAAUUGCAAAACUUGCUGUCUCGGAUGUGAAAUAAAUUCGGCUAAUUUGUUGGUAGGAGCUAUCAUAGUAUUUUUUUGGUAUCAAUGUCACUGGAGACUAUAUCCCUGAAUAAGUGCCAGGCACUGGCUCUGAACUAACUAAAUGCUUUGCAUGUGUUAUUUCAUUAAAUCCUCACAAUAAUCCUGUGGAGUCAGUAAUUUUAUGAUUUCCAUUUUACAGGUGAGGAGACUGAGGCAGAAAGAGGUUGAAUGAUGUGCCCAAGGGAACAGAAGUCAUGAGUAGCAGAGCUAGGCUUGCUAAACCUCGUGUGGUCUUCAAGCUCAGGUCCAUCAGCACUGGAACAAGCUAUGGUGUUAGUUGAGUUCACAGUAGGUCAUGUCAUUUUCCUGCCAAAUUAUCGCAGUCUGGGUACAAAUAAAAUCUCAGCCUGCUGCUUUUUUUUUUUUUAACCUCAGUAUGACAUACACCAAAAAUUCUGUGUCAAGUGUGUCUUAUACAAGAUUUUUCCAGUGCAUAAUCUAUUAAUGGGAAUUGCAUCAGCAUCAUUGGGUUCUGUCACUUUUUCAUGCCAUUAUAGCACCAUUUAGAAGCUCAUUUAAUUUCACAAAGUCAGCAUAUACUGUUCCCUUCCCUCCAUGUCUCUCUUCCUUAGCUAACGUGUCAUUUUCUCACUCCACACUCCCUCAUUAGAGCCCGGCAAUCUGACUUCUCUCCCUGAUCCUCCACUGACAUUUUUCUCACCACUAGUUCCAUUUCUAAUAAAUCGCAUGGGGUUUUCUCAGUCUCUCUUCUUCCUCGAGCUCCCUGGAUGUUCAGCUGCUAAUCACCUCUUCCCUCCAGACAUCCCUUCUCCCUUGGCUUCUGCUGGCUCCUUUCCUCUCUGUUACCCCAACACUUCCUCCCUCCAGUGCUCUUCGAGUCUUACUGCUGAGCAGUCUUCCCUAAGCCAAUGAUAUUCAUGACUACAUCUCUUCCUGAAUCCCAAACCGAGACUUGCAGCUUCCAACAGGACCCUUGCACUUGGGGGACCUUGGCUGUUCUAAAGCCAUCUCACUCUCAACAUACACAGCAUCAAACCUUAGGCCUUAGCUUGGCCUGCCAGGAAGCUGAGCAGCUCCAUUUGCUUGCAGCGCCCUCCAUUGUCUUGGUAUGCUGGCACUGGGAUCUUAUGCUUGGAGCUCGAUAAGAAUGAUUGGAAUGUAUCUAGCCUAGUGUCUGGCAUGGAAAAGGUGCUCUGUAAAACCAUUUCCUCUUUCCUUUUCCUUCUCUCUCCUGCCCAGUGUUCAUGGAGUCACCAGGUCUGUUGAGCAUGGAAGGAAAUGCCAGCUUUAUUCCAUUCCAUCCACCCCACUGCCACUCCACUGACCCCUCAUCCGUCAGCCUGGAAUAGUAUCUAGCCUUUGAGCCCAUCUCCCAGCCCACAUUUCUCCAGGGAACCACCCUGUUCACUGACACCAGGUAAAUCUUUCCAACCCAUGGCUAUCACUCAGCUUGACUUUCAAAGCCUUCCAUGCAUGGGGCCUGUCAUUCAUUCAACAUUUCCACCCCCCCACACAAAAAUGAGAGCUCUUUCCUUUAGUCCACCCAGUGGCCCCACCUCUUCUCUGCCUGCCAUCUCUGUGUCUUGCUCACAUUGUUCCAUUUAUCAGAUACACUUUCCCUCCCCAGACUUUGCUUCUUCAGGAUCAAGCUGACCCAUAAAGAUGGUCUUAUGUACUCAGUCCAAAAUGUUCUUUAUUUCCUCUGAAUUCCUCUAGCAUUUACAGUCAAGAUCCCACACCCUCUGACUACCACUAAUAGAAUACACUGGGUUCUUACUGUUGUAAAGACUGAUUCAAUCACUCCUGAAAAUAACUUGGAGAGAGAUAUGUCCACCUGUUCUUGCCAGUGAGGAAACUGAGGCUCACAAGGUGAACACCCCAGAAUUGCAUCUGGGAUUUGGUUCCAAAGACCACAUCCUCACUCCUCACUGUGCUAGAUUCUCCUGUAUUUGUUUCUUUUCGUCUCCUGAUAGGAUUUAAUGGCACAGAUCAUUUAUUGUGCUAUUUUGUUGCUUUUCCAAUGGGCCUAGCUAAGGACUGAGAACAUGAUAUUCCUUUGAUAAACACUCACUGAUUUUGGCUUCUGACUUCCAGACUUAAUAAUGUUGUGACCCCCAAAAGAGGCAGGCAAUUUAUGUAAGCAGUGGUCACCAAAAUUAUUUGCCCUGAUAAAUAACAUAACAAUCAGCACCAGGCCAAAGUGACCAGUGAUAUCCAGAUGACAAACUGCUUAACCUCGGCUGUCUCCUUCCUUUUCCUCCUUAAAAAUAAGAAAACCAAGGUAAAAUGCCUAAGAGCUCAUUGCUAUUCUGAAAUCAUUUUGCUUCCAACUCUUAUUUAAAUCAUCUCAGGGGUUUUGUUGACAUUAUCUGCCAAAGAUUGUAAUUCAUCUUUCCAAAAAGGAGAGAAGCAUCAACCCAUCAAACAAUGCCCUUCCUUCUACAGAGAGCUGAGGUCUGAGUUUCCCUCCCGACUGCUGGGGCAAGUGCUCGCUACCAGGCCAGCUGCUUGCGCAGGGCCCCUGGAUGCAUUUCUAAAGGGUCAUAUUUACAGUGUCGGAUGGCUGGGCACUGUGGAGCUUAAUGGGAUUCUUAAUAAAGGCAGCCUUCAUUAAGACGGGAGUACAGGCAAGGUGCCCUUGCGUUUGAGGAAAGGACGACCCAGUGCAAGACGGAUGCUCCCCCUUGGCUUGGAAAUCACGCGGGUCAAGUGCCUUGUCAUGCAUUAACAGCCUUUUAAGUUCCUAGGCAGAUUAAGAGGAGCGGUGCAGAUAAAUGAAAGAAGAGGAAUCAUGUGAUCUGUCUUGGUAGCAUAAACAUUGAGACACAGCAGCUGCAUUUAAACACAGCAAUUUGCUAAACGAGUGGUUGGCGACUUUCCAGAUGGCCAAUGUGACACAGGGCUUGGAUGAAUCCUUUAUUCAAUCAUGCAUCUGUCUAGACAGAGACAUUGAAGGCCAGGUUAUAGCCACUGCAGGAGUGGCAGCAGCAGCAGCAGCAGCUUUGAAAGCCUUAUAUAAAACAUGCUCGGUAUUGCCCGUGAGGCAGCUUGGCCACAGAUCAGCUGGAGAGGGUGCGGCGGCAUGGUGUGCGUGGAGCCUCCAGGAAAGCCGUCUUCUCAGCUGAAUGACGGCCAGCUUGGAACAGGGGCUCUUUCUCUGCCCGUCUUCCUACUGUGUCACUUCACACACCUACCCGAAGAGAUGGGGGUGGGUGAUCUUAGGGGAAUAAGGCAGCAGUAUCAGUGUGGAAAGCAGCAAUACUGGUUGUGUUCUAUGUCCCUUUUUUAAAAAUGCGCAC
rnacentral:lncRNA from 10 species